rnacentral:piRNA from 1 species
UGAGACUAGGCUGGGGAUGACAGGAGGAC